UACGGAAGGCAGCAGUGGGGAAUAUUGCACAAUGGGCGAAAGCCUGAUGCAGCUAUGCCGCGUGUAUGAAGAAGGCCUUAGGGUUGUAAAGUACUUUCAUCGGGGAGGAAAAACAAAACUAAUAAUUUUAUUUCUUGACGUUACCCGAAAAAGAAGCACCGGCUAACUCCGUGCCAGCAGCCGCGGUAAUACGGAGGGUGCUAGCGUUAAUCAGAAUUACUGGGCGUAAAGAGCACGUGGGUGGUUUUUUUAAGUCAGAUGUGAAAUCCCUGGGCUUAACCUGGAACUGCAUUUUGAAACUGAAAUACUAGAGUAUCGUAGAGGGAGGUAGAAUUCUAGGUGUAGCGGUGAAAUGCGUAGAUAUCUGGAGGAAUACCUGUGGCGAAAGCGGCCUCCUAAACGAAUACUGACACUGAGGUGCGAAAGCGUGGGGAGCAAACAGGGAUUAGAUACC
rnacentral:rRNA from 1 species